rnacentral:rRNA from 1 species
UUAAGUCUUUAUUUUUGUAUUGUAAUAGACUACGUUUUAAUAAGCUAUAUGUAAAUAUAGUGCUUAGGCGGAGCUUAUUAACACACAAAUUAAAGAUUAAAUUAGUAUUGAAUGAAACUUUGUUUAUAUAUCGAUAAUGACGAUAUAUAUAUUAUGUCUUGACCAAUUACGUGCCAGCAGUCGCGGUAAUACGUAAGAGACUAGUGUUAUUCAUCUUAAUUAGGUUUAAAGGGUACUCAAACGGUCUGUUUUGCACAAAAGACUAGAGUUAUAUAGAAGAAGGUAGUACCUUAAGUGUAGAGAUAAAAUUUUGUUAUACUGGAGGGACUUAGAAAAGGCGUAGGCAACCUUCUAAGUAAUAACUGACGUUGAAGGACGAAGGCAUAGGUCACGAACAGGACUAGUAACCCAAGUAGUCUUUGCAGUCAAUGAUGAAUGCCAUAGGUUAGAUAAAAAUUUAGUCUAUAAAUGAAAAUGUAAGCAUUUCACCUCAAGAGUAAUGUGGCAACGCAGGAACUGAAAU